GACGAACGCUGGCGGCGUGCUUAACACAUGCAAGUCGAACGGUAAGGCCCUUCGGGGUACCCGACUGGCGAACGAGUGAGUAACACGUGGGUGAUCUGCCCUGCACUCUGGGAUAAGCCUGGGAAACUGGGUCUAGUACCCUAUAUGACUACAGGCUGCAUGGUCUGUGGUGGAAAGCUUUUGCGGUGUGGGAUGGGCCCGCGACCUAUCAGCUUGUUGGUGGGGUGAUGGCCUACCAAGGCGACGACGGGUAGCCGGGCUGAGAGGGUGACCGGCCACACUGGGACUGAGAUGCGGCCCAGACUACUACGGGAGGCAGCAGUGGAGAAUAGUGCACAAUGGGCGCAAGCAUGAUGCAGCGACGCCGCGUGGGGGACGACGGCCUGCGGGUUGUAAACCUAUUUCAGCACAGACGAAGCGCAAGUGACGGUAUGUGCAGAAGAAGGACCGGCUAACUACGUG
rnacentral:rRNA from 1 species